GCUUCAAUGGCUCAGUUGGCUAGAGCGCAGGUCUCAUAAUCCUGAGGUCGCAAGUUCGAGCCUUGCUUGGAGCA
rnacentral:tRNA from 2 species